rnacentral:sRNA from 1 species
AUCUGGCGAUAUAACAAUAUUUGUAACUCCUUGCAUACAAGAUUUUGAUAAUACAAACAAGAUCACCACCAUUCUAUUGUUUGCCGUUAUUUAGAUUCUCUAGAUCUAGAUCUAAAUUUUUGUCUAAUAAAAAAUCUACACUCUAGUUCAGCUAGAGUCUUGUUUUGGAAAAUGUCUUGCAAUCAUGCACGUUUUUUAGGAAAAACUGUUUUAGUUAGUCGAAAUCAGAUUGAACCGGCAUACAACAUACUCGAUAGAAUUUUGAAAAGAGAAAAAUUUUUCACUGAAGUGAAAAGAAAAGAAAGAUAUGAAAAACCUUUUCUCACAAGGAAUCGUCUCACAUAUGAAAGGUGCAGAAGAAUCUAUGACUCAGAGAUGAAACGCAAGAUUUCAUUUGUUAUGAGAAAAAACAGACCUGACCCUUUUUUGAGAUAAAAUUCAAAAUCCGGGAAACUAACCCAAAACAUUAUGUACAUGAACACAAAAUAUAUAUGUCAACAUUUGUUUAAUACCAAUCAAUACAUUCAUUUAUAUGACCUUU